ACGCUCGACACCUACGGGAGCAGCAGUUGGGAAUAUUGGACAAUGGAGGGAAACUCUGAUCCAGUGACGCCGCGUGAAGGAAGAAGGUCUUCGGAUUGUAAACUUAUUUUGUCAGGGAAGAAAAAUGACUGUACCUGAAGAAAAGCACCGGCUAACUACGUGCCACAGCCGCGGUAAUCUGAGCGGGCUGGCAAGGC
rnacentral:rRNA from 1 species